rnacentral:rRNA from 1 species
ACUCCUACGGGAGGCAGCAGUGGGGAAUAUUGCACAAUGGGGGAAACCCUGAUGCAGCAACGCCGCGUGAGUGAAGGAGGCCUUCGGGUUGUAAAGCUCUGUUAUACGGGAAGAUAAUGACUGUACCGUAUGAGUAAGCCACGGCUAACUACGUGCCAGCAGCCGCGGUAAUACGUAGGUGGCGAGCGUUGUCCGGAUUUACUGGGCGUAAAGGAUGCGUAGGCGGAUAAAUAAGUGAGAUGUGAAAUACCCGGGCCUAACCUGGGGGGUGCAUUUCAAACUGUUUGUCUAGAGUACAGGAGAGGAAAGUGGAAUUUCUAGUGUAGCGGUGAAAUGCGUAGAUAUUAGGAAGAACACCAGUGGCGAAGGCGGCUUUCUGGACUGUUACAGACGCUGAGGCAUGAAAGCAUGGGUAGCGAACAGGAUUAGAUACCCUGGUAGUCA